CGGCGGCCGAAAGUCCUGGACAGAGACGAAACUCAGGUAGGUUCGGCGGCACCUUCGGCAGCCGAAAGUGCCAGACAGAGACGAAAGUCUCUUUUCGGGGGCAACUUCGGCAGCCGAAAGGCCUGCCUCCCCAGCCAUGUUCGGCGGCCGAAAGUACCUUCGGCUGCCGAACCUGGUUUCUGCCAAAGGGCAGAAACUUGGCUCCCUUAGCACAUUUCGCCUCCAAACCUUCCAAACAUGCAUAUUGUUCAACCAAAGCAUGCAUACAAGUUCCUAGGGGCCUCAAACAUGCAUAUACCCCAUCUACAACACUUCAAUCACACACAAUCAAGCUACAUUGUUCAAAAAGUCAUCAAAAACCCAUAGGUUUAACAUAUACCCUAACAUGCAUUCUACCCCUUAAAACUUCAUAAAACUUGUUUAAAUCAUACAUUGAGCUUAAGAUCGGCUCUUACCUCUUGAAGAUCGAGGGUUGAGGAGAUCUAAACUUGGAGAUGGGGGAAGUUCCAACUUUUGGUCUCCAAGCUCCAAAACUCGUU
rnacentral:lncRNA from 1 species